rnacentral:rRNA from 1 species
UACGAAGGGGGCUAGCGUUGACGUACGGAAUUGAUUGGGCGAUAAGGGCGCGUAGGCGGUUUGACAAGUCUGAUGUGAAAUCUAUGGGCUCAACCCAUAGCCUGCAUUAGAAACUGUCGGGCUUGAGUAUGGGAGAGGUGAGUGGAAUUUCCGGUGUAGCGGUGAAAUGCGUAGAUAUCGGAAGGAACACCUGUGGCGAAAGCGGCUCAUUGGACCAUAACUGACGCUGAGGCGCGAAAGCUAGGGGAGCAAACAGG